CCUACGGGUGGCAGCAGUGAGGAAUAUUGGUCAAUGGGCGCGAGCCUGAACCAGCCAAGUCGCGUGAGGGAAGACGGUCCUAUGGAUUGUAAACCUCUUUUGUCGGGGAGCAAAAGACGCCACGCGUGGCGUUCCGCGCGUACCCGAAGAAAAAGCAUCGGCUAACUCCGUGCCAGCAGCCGCGGUAAUACGGAGGAUGCGAGCGUUAUCCGGAUUUAUUGGGUUCAAAGGGUGCGCAGGCGGAAGAUCAAGUCAGCGGUGAAAUGCCCCCGCUCAACGGGGUGAAGUGCCAUUGAUACUGCCUUGCUGGAAUGCGGAUGCCGUGGGAGGAAUGUGUGGUGUAGCGGUGAAAUGCAUAGAUAUCACACAGAACACCGAUUGCGAAGGCAUCUCACGAAGCCGCGAUUGACGCUGAUGCACGAAAGCGUGGGUAUCAAACAGGAUUAGAUACCCGGGUAGUC
rnacentral:rRNA from 1 species